rnacentral:rRNA from 1 species
AAUAUUGGGCAAUGGGCGCAAGCCUGACCCAGCAACGCCGCGUGAAGGAAGAAGGCUUUCGGGUUGUAAACUUCUUUUAGCAGGGACGAAGACGUGGCGGUACCUGCAGAAUAAGCGUCGGCUCACUCCGCGCCAGCACCCGCGGCAAUACGUAGGGAGCAAGCGUUAUCCGGAUUUACUGGGUGUAAAGGGCGCGUAGGCGGGAGUAUAAGUCAGAUGUGAGAUCUGGGGGCUCAACCCCCAAACUGCAUUUGAAACUAUAUUGCUUGAGUGAUGGAGAAGCAAGUGGAAUUCCUAGUGUAGCGGUGAAAUGCGUAGAUAUUAGGAGGAACAACAGUGGCGAAGACGACUUGCUGGACAUUAACUGACGCUGAGGCGCGAAAGCGUGGGGAGCAAACAGG